rnacentral:rRNA from 1 species
GGAGCGGCGGACGGGUGAGUAACGCGUGGGAACGUGCCCUUUAGUUCAGAAUAGCCACUGGAAACGGUGAGUAAUACUGAAUACGCCCUUCGGGGGAAAGAUUUAUCGCUAAAGGAUCGGCCCGCGUUGGAUUAGCUAGUUGGUGGGGUAAAGGCCUACCAAGGCAACGAUCUAUAGCUGGUCUGAGAGGAUGAUCAGCCACACUGGGACUGAGACACGGCCCAGACUCCUACGGGAGGCAGCAGUGGGGAAUAUUGGACAAUGGGGGCAACCCUGAUCCAGCCAUGCCGCGUGAGUGAAGAAGGCCCUAGGGUUGUAAAGCUCUUUCAGAUGUGAGGAUGAUGACAGUAGCAUCAGAAGAAGCACCGGCUAACUUCGUGCCAGCAGCCGCGGUAAUACGAAGGGUGCUAGCGUUGUUCGGAAUUACUGGGCGUAAAGGGCGUGUAGGCGGAUGAUCAAGCUAGAGGUGAAAGCCCAGGGCCUAACCCUGGAACUGCCUUUAGAACUGAUUGUCUAGAAUCCGUAAGGGGAGUGUGGAAUUCCUAGUGUAGAGGUGAAAUUCGUAGAUAUUAGGAAGAACACCAGUGGCGAAGGCGGCACUCUGGUACGGUAUUGACGCUGAGGCGCGAAAGCGUGGGUAGCGAACAGGAUUAGAUACCCUGGUAGUCCACGCCGUAAACGAUGUCUGCUAGCCGUUUGGACACUUAGUGUCUGGGUGGCGCCGCUAACGCAUUAAGCAG